rnacentral:rRNA from 1 species
AUUGAACGCUGGCGGCAGGCUUAACACAUGCAAGUCGAGCGGGGUGAUGGUGCUUGCACUAUCACUUAGCGGCGGACGGGUGAGUAAUGCUUAGGAAUCUGCCUACUAGUGGGGGACAACAUCUCGAGAGGGAUGCUAAUACCGCAUACGUCCUACGGGGGAAAGCAGGGGAUCACUUGUGACCUUGCGCUAAUAGAUGAGCCUACGACGGAUUAGCUAGUUUGUGGGGUAAAGGCCUACCAAGGCGACGAUCUGUAGCGGGUCUGAGAGGAUGAUCCGCCGCACUGGGACUGAGACACGGCCAAGACUCCUACGGGAGGCAGCAGUGGGGAAUAUUGGACAAUGGGGGGAACCCUGAUCCAGCCAUGCCGCGUGUGUGAAGAAGGCCUUAUGGUUGUAAAGCACUUUAAGCGAGGAGGAGGCUCUUUUGGUUAAUACCCAGAAUGAGUGGACGUUACUCGCAGAAUAAGCACCGGCUAACUCUGUGCCAGCCGCCGCCGUAA